rnacentral:rRNA from 1 species
GUGGGGAAUCUUAGACAAUGGGCGCAAGCCUGAUCUAGCCAUGCCGCGUGAGCGAUGAAGGCCUUAGGGUUGUAAAGCUCUUUCAGCUGGGAAGAUAAUGACGGUACCAGCAGAAGAAGCCCCGGCUAACUCCGUGCCAGCAGCCGCGGUAAUACGGAGGGGGCUAGCGUUGUUCGGAAUUACUGGGCGUAAAGCGCACGUAGGCGGAUCAGAAAGACAGAGGUGAAAUCCCAGGGCUCAACCUUGGAACUGCCUUUGAAACUCCUGAUCUUGAGGUCGAGAGAGGUGAGUGGAAUUCCGAGUGUAGAGGUGAAAUUCGUAGAUAUUCGGAGGAACACCAGUGGCGAAGGCGGCUCACUGGCUCGAUACUGACGCUGAGGUGCGAAAGCGUGGGGAGCAAACAGGAUUAGAAACCCGGGUAGUCC